rnacentral:rRNA from 1 species
GGGUGUGUAAGUGCUGUGAGGCAUUGAGCUAACCCAUACUAAUUGCCCGUGCGGCUUGGCCAUAUAAGCUAAG